AGAUUUUGACCCGCGCUUUUCAAAGCGCGGGACUAUAUUAUUUUUAAAAAAUAUCUAACUACAUAAAUAUUUUCAUUAUUAUAAUAUAUUGAUGAUAUAGGUUGUUUAUUUCAAAAUCAAAGUGUGUUACUCACUUACUUUAUACCAUUCUUACUGAACUGACAUCGGUUUGCACCAUGUUCUUACGAUAUAUUUUUAUCAGUCUAAAUUUAAUAUUUAAUUUUAUAAAUAUUUAUCAUGUGUUUAUUGUAAAAUAACACUCUUUAUAAAAAAAAAUACAUGAUAAUUUCUAAUAAUAGAAGUUUUAAAAAUUUGUAUUCAAUUUAUUUAUAUUUGAAGUUCUUAAAAGACAUGUGUAAAUUAUUUAUAUAUUAAUUGUUAGUUUGAAAAAGAAAAUUUAAUAGUUAUUUUAUAUGUUUAAACAUGUAAAUUUUUAGAGAAAAAAAAAUUGUAUUGGGCUCAAAUAUGUUUAUACAUGUUAAGUAAUAGAAAUUAUCAAACGUAAGAUCCCAUAUGAAAAAAGAUUAAUCAGCGUACUGGGCUCAAAUAAUGUUUCCGUAAACCUGACCCACCCAAGUCGAGUACUUGGUCUUUUUUUUUGCUGGCCAAUUUAGUACUUGGUCGUAAAGACCGUUUACGUGUUGAAAAAAAAGAACAGAAAGGAAAGAAAAAUAAAAAAAAAGGACAGGUCUAAAACGGUCUCUUUACCGAGGAAAGAUGAUAUGAAGACAAAUCGUUUCCCAUGGUGAAAAUCAAAGGUAGUCGACUAUUGCCUGAGUAAAUAACAACUCAGAAACUCGAAAUCAAAAGAUGAAUGUGUUCUUAGAUCUGAAAUAUUAUGAAAGGGAACAGACGAUUACCAUGCAAUCAUUUUACGUCAGGGAUUCUGCAUAAAUCUGAAGAAACCUGGUUUAUACUAUGGAAACCACGAGCAAGAACAAUGGUGGUUCUGUGACUUUUGAAUAUUGGAUCUCAAAACUUGGAGUGAACAUUCAGUUUAUGCCCAAUACAUAACAGUUAGCAUAACCGGUCGAUGUUCACACAACCAACAUAAAAAAAAGGAAACAUGGAUUCAUUGUCUGCUCCGGCUGCAAGCGAGGAAAGGAUAUAUAAUACUACAACAGUGAAAGAUAAGUUCCUUUAAACAAUUGUAAAAAGACUAUUUAUUUAAACAGAAAGUUCUUAGACUUUUAGUUUGAUAUAUUCUGUUGUAGCAAGUAGAGAGUAACAAAAGCUUACACUCUCAUCAGCCAAGAUGAAUUUUAUGGUUUCCCCUGAUAGUUGUAUGUUUUGUUUUCAAGAGUGUAGAACCUUCACAUGAAUAAACCAUGUAUUUUUCCAAGGCCUCAAGUCUUUAAUGGCAGUAACUUUUUCGUAGAA